GACGAACGCUGGCGGCGUGGAUUAGGCAUGCAAGUCGAACGGUAUCAUCCUUUCGGGGGUGAGAGAGUGGCGAACUGGUGAGUAACACGUAGGUUAUCUACCCUCAAGACGGGGACAACCCAGGGAAACUUGGGCUAAUACCGGAUGUGAGCAACUUUUAGUUGUUUGAAAGGUGGCGUAAGCUGUCGCUUGGGGAUGAGCCCUGCGUCCUAUUAGUUAGUUGGUGAGGUAACGGCUCACCUAGGCAAUGAUAGGUAGGCGGCCUUAACGGGUGGUCGCCCACACUGGGAUUGAGAUACGGCCCAGACUCCUACGGGAGGCAGCAGUCGAGAAUAGUCUACAAUGGUCGGAAGACUGAUAGUGCGACGCCGCGUGAACGAUGAAUCCUUCGGGUGUAAAGUUCUUUUAUAUGUGAGCAGUGCUUCUUAUAUUAACAGUAUGGGGAGAGAGAUAUUAGCAUAUGAAUAAGCAACGGCUAACUCCGUGCCAGCAGCCGCGGUAAA
rnacentral:rRNA from 1 species